AGCUCCGGCUCCGAUUGGAAGUACACGAGCAUGGUGGUAGCCCCACCCAUGGACUCGCCGAAGAGGAAAGCAGGGAGGUCGCGGUAGGAUUCGCUGGUGCGGACGCUCUUGAAGAAGGAAAGGGAGGUGGCGGCGACCUUCUCCAUGUCGCCGAGGUAGCAGCGGAUGCCGUCGGAGCGGCCGUGGCCGAGGAUGUCGGCGGCGAAGACUGCGUAGCCCCAGGUGGCGUAGUUAAUGCAAAUCUUCUGGAAGAGCCAGCCGGUGUCGGAGCCGUAGCCGUGGGUCAUGUAGACGGAAGCCUUGACAGGGAGAUCCAAGGGUAGGAAACUCUGGGUGAAGAGCUUGCCGUUGGGGGUGUCGAAGUAUGAUUUGGUGUUGCGCACCCCUUGGGAGGCAUAGUACUCCUCCUCCGGCAUAUCGCCCCAGAAGUUGGCCGAAAUUUCGGAUUCCGACGACA
rnacentral:lncRNA from 1 species